AGAGUUUGAUCAUGGCUCAGAACAAACGCUGGCGGCGUGCCUAACACAUGCAAGUCGUACGAGAAAGUCCGCUUCGGUGGAUGAGUAAAGUGGCGCACGGGUGAGUAACGCGUGGAUAAUCUACCCUUUAGUCUGGAAUAACUUAUCGAAAGGUGAACUAAUACCGGAUAAUAUCCCGAUUUCUUCGGCGAUCGGGAUCAAAGAAGGCCUCUGCUUGCAAGCUUUCACUGAAGGAUGAGUCCGCGUACCAUUAGCUAGUUGGCAGGGUAAUGGCCUACCAAGGUUAUGAUGGUUAGCUGGUCUGAGAGGAUGAUCAGCCACACUGGAACUGAAACACGGUCCAGACUCCUACGGGAGGCAGCAGUGAGGAAUAUUGCGCAAUGGGGGCAACCCUGACGCAGCAACGCCGCGUGAGUGAGGAAGGUUUUCGGAUUGUAAAGCUCUGUCGAGCGGAAAGAAGUGCAUGGUGGUUAAUAUCCAUCAUGCUUGACGGUACCGCUAAAGGAAGCACCGGCUAACUCCGUGCCAGCAGCCGCGGUAAUACGGGGGGUGCAAGCGUUGUUCGGAAUCAUUGGGCGUAAAGCGCGUGUAGGCGGCUGGACAAGUCAGAUGUGAAAGCCCUGGGCUUAACCCAGGAAGUGCAUUUGAAACUGUUCAGCUAGAGUAAGGGAGAGGAAAGUGGAAUUCCUGGUGUAGAGGUGAAAUUCGUAGAUAUCAGGAGGAACACCGGUGGCGAAGGCGACUUUCUGGCCCUAUACUGACGCUGAGACGCGAAAGCGUGGGUAGCAAACAGGAUUAGAUACCCUGGUAGUCCACGCUGUAAACGAUGUUCACUAGUGUCGGGGGUAUUGACCCUUCCAGUGCCGCAGCUAACGCAUUAAGUGAACCGCCUGGGGAGUACGGUCGCAAGAUUAAACUCAAAUGAAUUGACGG
rnacentral:rRNA from 1 species